CUUGGGCAAACAAGAACUCUCUCCGUAUCAGUCGAAAAAACUUUACGAUUGGGUGAGAAAUUUGGUGUGAAGAAGGGGAAAGGCUUCGAAAUUGAUUGGGUCGAGCUGCCUAUAGUUCUAAUGUUCGCCACGGAUCUGGAUUUAGUUGGGGUUAUCAUGAACUUUUCACAUGAUAUGGAUGAUGAAUAUGAGAAAAUUUGCAGGAGAAUGAACCCACCAAGGGUUGUAGUUGAUCAAUGAAGCCUGCAAGAAUGCUACGGUAAUAAGGUUGGGCUAUCGGCCACUGACACAGUUGAUCAGGUGAAGUGUAAAACAAUUGCUAUCUGCCUGCAUGAAGAUCACCAAUGCCUGGUUGGAUUGAAACAACAAUCUAAUUUAAAAUAUGGUGUAAAAGUUGUGAAGUCAGAUGAACUGGUUGUAUCCUUCUGCAUGCUAAUUGAAUGAAUCUUUCUUUUGGUGUUUUAUUUCCGAAAUUCUUAACUGUUGGCUGA